rnacentral:lncRNA from 1 species
AUGGCUGAUACGGAGGUGAGGCGAGGCCCCGGCAUGCCAAGAAAGGAAAUGGAGCACGGCAGAACCGCCCGUGGAGCGGAGCAGAGCUGGGAUGCUGCACUGAACCAUGGAGAUGCCAUAGCAGGAACAACUCGUGGUUGCAAACCAGGCUACCCGGUUUUAAGUCACAUCCAACUUUUUUUUUUCUUUUUGAGCCAGGCAACUAAAUAUUUCUGAAGCUUAUUAAAUUAACCAGUUAGACCAAGGCAAUAUACAAGUGAGUUGUUCUGGGGCUGCAUGAAAAGGUUUCCACGUGCUGCAAAAUGUAACGUGAAACCAGCAAAUCUCUUACCCAAGGAAUCCCCAUGGUUUAGACUAGGAAGAAGCAUCUGAAAGCUGGCAUCUGAACCCGAUGCUGGUCACCCAAAAUUCUGGGGGAGUCCAGUCCGUGCUCAGCUCUCCCUGAUGUGAAACGUAGUCACUUUGGUUCUUGCACAGUGUCUAAAGAGGUGACAGAUCUUCAAGUUGGGUAAACAUCUCUGGUUCAUCUCUGAUACAAACAGAGCUUGGCUGUGUUUGUGAUUUGGCUUGCGCUCUUUGCAUCACAUCGCUGCGUGGGGACUCUGCGGCUGACAGUAAGAUGCUACACAAGAUGCCGGUCGUACUGCAAAGACCUUCUGUUACUGAGUAAGCUUUGUGUGUCAGCCCACGCAAACGUGCUGUACUUGAUUAAUCGUGUUCAUUAGGGUUGUAUUUUCAGGCAGCCGAGAACAGGGCUCCCUUAUGCUGGGCACUGUGCAGAUCUGGAGAACCAGCAGUGCUUUGUUUCCUGUGUGACGUGCCAACGUCUUUCUCCAGGCCAAGCCUGCUUUCUAAUUCAAGUGACAAAAUUAGUGAAAAACUGGUUUGCGUCUUGCUCUUCCAUCCGCCUGGGCAUGUUUGGGAAUCCCUUAGAAUGACUGAAUUCAGUGGUUUAAGCUUUUUUUUUUUUUUAUUGCACACCUCCCACAAUAACUCUGAAGCAGCUUCAUAAUGGAAAUGCUGACACAACACUAUCGCCUCAGCCCCAGGAGUGUGUUCCACCUUCUAUUGUUUGCCUUGGCCUCUGUAUAUUGUAUACUGCCUCAGUUUAAUUGGUUAAUUUAAUAAACUUCUGAAGUGCUGUAUCA